rnacentral:tRNA from 1 species
AUUUAAAUAGCUUAAAUUUAAAGCAUAAUAUUGAAGAUAUUAAGAUAAUAAUUAUUUAUUUUUAAAUA